rnacentral:tRNA from 1 species
UGCCCCAUGGCUGAGUUGGUUACAGCGUCCGACUGUUAUCAAGUUGAUUGGAAACAAUCGGAAGGUCGUGAGUUCGAGCCUCACUGGGGCAG